UUAAGGUAGGGAGGUGCCAAGGAUCCCGGACAGCACUGACUCUAUCCACACGCUCAUUGUUGUUACAGAAUUCAACCCAAAUAAUCACAACCUUGAAUCGAAAACAAUGUUUUUUUGUAUUUAUUAUAAUGAACCGAAACCCAACCCUGUCCACACGCCCAGUACUUAACUUUUCAACACACCCUCUUGACCAUAGUCCGGUCUCGGUAUCGAGCUGCAGCUCCCUACUUGUCAAUGCGAACGUGAGUAGAUUACCUUGAAAACAACGGUCGGACAUCUAGGAAGCAGUCUCCAGUUUGUAUUAUACCUCGGUGGUUUGGACGGAACAAAUAUCUUGAUCGGACGACGACAACAACAACGUGUUAAAGAUGUUUGAAGCUGGUGUACAAAACCGAAAGUAAAAGACGCAUUGAAAUCGCAGAUGACCGCUUCUCAGACUUGCUUUCAAUGAGAAGAUCUAUAACGGAUAUUAUUAUUAUUUUUUAAUGAAAGGUGUAACCAAGGCUUCUGAGAACACAGAGAAACAUGGCUACAGUCUUCAUCUGUUCCGUCUGUACCGAAGUUUUCGUUGGACAUAUAUCGCUGAGCUGCCAGCACACCUUCUGUAGACAAUGCCUCCAGAAGAGUAUGGACUCCGGUUGCGUUAUCUGUCCGGUGUGCGGGGAUCUAAUCACGUCGGAGAACAUCAGAGUCAACAGAAUACUAAGGGACAUGGCAGACGAAGUGAGACAGAGAAGAGUUGAUCUCAGAGUGUUGAAGAGGAAUGAGCACGUCGACGUGAAUAACUGGGAAACAUACAAGAAGAAGGAGAAUGUGAAAACGUCAAAGUCCUUUGUGACGGAAGGCCUGGCUGCCAGAAAGACGGAGAGGAAGUUAAAGUCGUCUCUGACCACUGGUCCCUGGGAGGGUUUACUUUUUGGCAUUAUGGCUUUUUAUUGCUUCAUUUCUGUUCUUACUUAUGCUGUCCUUCCUUGUGUGGAAUAUGUGUCUGUAACAAUGUCAGGAAAUGUCGCCAAGGUGUUGGGAUCCCCUUUGGUAUUAAUGUCCAUGUUUGUUGUCUUCGGUGUUGUUGCUCAUUUGGUGGAUUUUGUGUUGAAAAAAGUUUGACUUAAAAUCUGUUUUUAUAUAGUAAUAACUGAUUGAUUGCUUUUAUGCAGUGUUGGAGAGUCAUUGGAUGUAAGCGAACUUCCUUUCCCAGCAGUUUGGUGGUAGUUGAAGAACUUUUUUGAAAUGAAUGAUCUUAUUGAGUUGUCUUACACCUGCAGGUUUAUGCCCAGUUUAUUGAUGCUAUGAUAAGUACAGUAGACUUUAGUUGUACAAUGAAUGUUGUGAAGCUUUACACUGCUAACUGAUUAUAUAGAAGGAAAAGGGCAAUGAGUGUAUUUUGUUGUAAAACUUUUUCCUUGUAAAUUUACCAGCAUUAUAAUGGCACCAGAGUUGCCAGAUUAAUACUGUAAUUUUGCGUUACAGCAGAGAUGCUGUAAUAUAUUUUACAGUGCCUCUUUUCCAUACUAUAAAACACAUUACAGAAUACAGCAUCCCUGCUUUAAAUUUACAGCCGUAAGGUUUUUACAGUAGUAGUAUUCAAUGUCGGGGUUCGUGACCCAACAACUGCAGUGUGGUUGCCAACAAUAUUAUUUGAAAUGUUAUAUUAUUAUUUACUGUUAUUUUUUUUAUGAACAAAACAUAAUAUAUUAAACACUAUAAAAGCAUUUUUUUUAUAAAAAUGGGUUCCCUGCUGAAAAGGUUUAAAUACCACUGUUUUACAGCAAGGAAAAUACUACUGUAAAAAUAUAUUACAGCAUAUCCACUGUAAAGCAAAAUUACAGUAUUUAAGCUGGAAACUGGUGCCAUUACAAUGGUGAAUAUUUACAGUGAAAUUCUACCUGAAAUCUAAAUACUAAAAUAUAUACAUAUGUACAUAAAAUACACGUAUUCAAAUAGCUGACAACAUUAACUACAAAUGAACAACAUAAUUGACAAUAGAAGUAACAACAGUUAUCACAUAUGUAACCAAAUAAGAGCAUCAUUACAACACUAAUUACAAAUUAUAUUGUGUAUGUGGGGGGGGGGGGGGGGGUUGAGAUCAAAUUGGGAUUGGGUACAAUCCUAGAUAUAUGAUCAGGGGCAACUCUAUUUAGGGUAAGGGGGUUCAGAGGCGGUGAAACGGGACAGUUUGGUCAGGAGAGCAUCCAGGACAGAGAGAAGUCGGCAUCAUGUGUUCCUCAUGGGGCUCCGUAAAAAACAAACCACCUCGGGUUCUGAUUGGUCAGCUCUUCUCAACCCUAGGACAAGCAUAGAAAAAGAAAGGCUAGAAUAAGCACCAGGGCUGUUACUCUGUGGGUAAAUAGACAGACAGCAACCAGGAGCUGUUACUCUGUGGGUAAAUAGACAGACAGAACCAGGGGCUGUUACUCUGUGGGUAAAUAGACAGACAGAACCAGGGGCUGUUACUCUGUGGGUAAAUAGAGAGACAGCACAGCACCAGGGGCUGUUACUCUGUGGGUAAAUAGACAGACAGACAGCACCAGGGGCUGUUACUCUGUGGGUAAAUAGAGAGACAGCACCAGGGGCUGUUACUCUGUGGGUAAAUAGAGAGACAGCAACAGGGGCUGUUACUCUGUGAGUAAAUAGAGAGACAGCACCAGGGGCUGUUACUCUGUGGGUAAAUAGAGAGACAGCAACAGGGGCUGUUACUCUGUGGGUAAAUAGAGAGACAGCAACAGGGGCUGUUACUCUGUGGGUAAAUAGACAGACAGCACCAGGGGCUGUUACUCUGUGGGUAAAUAGACAGACAGAACCAGGGGCUGUUACUCUGUGGGUAAAUAGAGAGACAGCACCAGGGGCUGUUACUCUGUGUGUAAAUAGAGAGACAGCAACAGGGGCUGUUACUCUCUGAGUAAAUAGAGAGACAGCAACAGGGGCUGUUACUCUCUGAGUAGAUAGAGAGACAGCACAAGGGGCUGUUACUCUGUGGGUAAAUAGAGAGACAGCAACAGGGGCUGUUACUCUGUGGGUAAAUAGACAGAGGACAAGGGACAUAUCAAGCUGGUGUUGUGUGUGUACGUACUUAACUACAAAUCUACAGUAGGCAUUAAGCUAUUACUGUAAAUAAAUUAUACAGAAUAACGUGAGGAUUUCCUCCAGGAGGCUUCCAAUUACAGUAAAUAACAGUAUUUUUCAGCAUUUUACCCAUAAUGCAGUGCUAUGUAUAACAUUAUUGCUUUAAGACACAUAUAUGGUAUUUUACUGUGCCUUCUACAGUGUUUGAAUGUUGACAUGACAGUCUUACACUACAUAGCUGCUCUCCAUUUGAGAAGACACUAACCUAUUUGUAUUGAAAUGUAAUAAAUAUAUAAUUCUGUUA